rnacentral:rRNA from 1 species
AGGGAAUCUUCCACAAUGGACGAAAGUCUGAUGGAGCAACGCCGCGUGAGUGAUGAAGGGUUUCGGCUCGUAAAACUCUGUUGUUGGAGAAGAACAGGUGUGAGAGUAACUGUUCACAUCUUGACGGUAUCCAACCAGAAAGCCACGGCUAACUACGUGCCAGCAGCCGCGGUAAUACGUAGGUGGCAAGCGUUGUCCGGAUUUAUUGGGCGUAAAGCGAGCGCAGGCGGUUUCUUAGGUCUGAUGUGAAAGCCUUCGGCUUAACCGGAGAAGUGCAUCGGAAACCAGGAGACUUGAGUGCAGAAGAGGACAGUGGAACUCCAUGUGUAGCGGUGAAAUGCGUAGAUAUAUGGAAGAACACCAGUGGCGAAGGCGGCUGUCUGGUCUGUAACUGACGCUGAGGCUCGAAAGCAUGGGUAGCGAACAGGAUUAGAUACCCUGGUGAGUCCAUGCCGUAA